CCAUUACUUUUGGCUAGUUCUCAGCCGCUUCGUUGCCUAUGCAAUGAUCGACGACAAUUGGUACGCACAAAUUAAGCAAGUGGAUUCACAACAAUGUUGCCUCCACCACAAAAGCUAUUUAAAAAGUCUGUUGAUUCUGUUCAUAAUGUAUUGUUCGCCAGAAGGAACGUAAACAAAUUUGUUGAUAUAAUGCGCAACAGGUUCACAUUCGUAGAUCAAUGCACCUGGAGCGCAGAAACCAUAUCGCUGCUCAAUAUGCGUCUAUAAAUAGUGGUUUCAAGAAAUCUCCUCAUCAUCACAUUUCAUCAACGACUCUUUGGAACCCCAAAGCUUCUCGACUCCAAUAAACUCUUGUAUGUUUCUGUUGCGAUGACAAUCUCAUCGACGGAGUCGAGAUUCUGUUGUCGUGUCUUUAGAUCCCCGGUUUACUGGAUGGUAAAAAAACUCGAUCUCAUGCGCCUCCAGUCGCCAUAUUGUAUUCACCAAAUUAAUUUAUCUCAGCGGAUAGCACUUCCAUCUACCAUUCAGUCAGCUUGAGAAUUCACUACUCGCACCCGUACCUCCUUACCCGGUUAAAGCUUAUCCUUUCUAGUUUUGACUCACAUGUUAAUCCUGACAUGUAACUCCCGUCGACUUUUCUUCAGAGAAACGGUCUCACGAACCAAACAGGGAUCGAUAACUCAGCUUCCUAUUUGUCUCGAGCUUAGACAGCAUGCUCAGUCUCUGCCAAUGAGACUCAGACUCAUUGCUGCCUCCACCGUGAAGUUUAUAUGGCUUCUCAGCUUCUCUGACGCCCGUAUAAGUUAAUCAUAAUCUUAAUUACAUGGACUUUUGUUGACAUGAAGAGUUACAAUGGUGUUUUGUGGACGUGAUGAUUGAUAUUCAAGGUUUGCGUUACGGCUGUGAGGAUGAAGGUGGAGAGAGCUGAGAUGGGAAAAAUAAGAUUUUAUGUUUCCGGUUAGGAACUGAUACGCCGAAUUUUUAAUGGGCCAAAAUAAAUAAAUCCAAUUAUGAAAAAAAAACAUGAUAGCCCACGUCGAAAGCAACAAAUUUUUAGAGAUUAGACAUGUGUUACUCUCUUCUCACCCUAUUUGAUGAUGUGGCGGGUUGAGAGUAUAAAAAACAUUACUUUAUAUAAUAAAAU